CUCCGGUUGAUCCCGCCGGACCCGACUGCUAUCAGAGUGGGACUAAGCCAUGCGAGUCAACGUAGCAAUACGUGGCAUACGGCUCAGUAACACGUAGUCAACAUGCCCAGGGGACGAGGAUAACCUCGGGAAACUGAGGAUAAACCUCGAUAGGCCAUGAUUUCUGGAAUGAUUCUUGGCUCAAACCUAUAUGGCCCCUGGAUUGGACUGCGGCCGAUCAGGCUGUUGGUGAGGUAAUGGCCCACCAAACCUAUUACCGGUACGGGCUCUGAGAGGAGGAGCCCGGAGAUGGGCACUGAGACAAGGGCCCAGGCCCUAUGGGGCGCAGCAGGCGCGAAACCUCUGCAAUAGGCGAAAGCUUGACAGGGUUACUCUGAGUGAUUUCCGCUAAGGGAAUCUUUUGGCACCUCUAAAAAUGGUGCAGAAUAAGGGGUGGGCAAGUCUGGUGUCAGCCGCCGCGGUAAUACCAGCACCCCGAGUGGUCGGGACGAUUAUUGGGCCUAAAGCAUCCGUAGCCGGUCCUGCAAGUCUUCCGUUAAAUCCAGCUGCUCAACAGAUGGGCUGCGGGAGAUACUACAGGGCUAGGAGGCGGGAGAGGCAAGCGGUACUUUAUGGGUAGGGGUAAAAUCCGCUGAUCCAUAGAAGACCACCAGUGGCGAAGGCGGCUUGCCAGAACGCGCUCGACGGUGAGGGAUGAAAGCUGGGGGAGCAAACCGGAUUAGAUACCCGGGUAGUCCCAGCUGUAAACGAUGCAGACUCGGUGAUGGGUUGGCCUCGCGCCUGCCCAGUGCCGCAGGGAAGCCGUUAAGUCUGCCGCCUGGGGAGUACGGUCGCAAGACUGAAACUUAAAGGAAUUGGCGGGGGAGCA
rnacentral:rRNA from 1 species